CCCUGGGGUAAGCAUGUAGGGAGCGAGGUAGGUAAAUCCGCCUCGUAUAUAUCCUGAGAUGUGAUGCCGAGCCGAUUGUGGUGAAGUGGAUGAUCCUAUGCUGCCGAGAAAAGCCUCUAGUGAGUGUUGUGGCGGCCCGUACCCUAAACCGACUCAGGUGGUCAGGUAGAGAAUACCAAGGCGAUCGGGUGAACUGUGGUUAAGGAACUCGGCAAAUUGCCCCCGUAACUUCGGGAGAAGGGGGACCUCUGCUGGUGAUGGGCUUUACGUUCUGAGCUGGUGGGGGUCGCAGUGGCCAGGGGGAAGCGACUGUUUACUAAAAACACAGGUCCGUGCGAAGUCGUAAGACGAUGUAUACGGACUGACGCCUGCCCGGUGCCGGAACGUUAAGGGGACCGCUUAGCCAACGCGAGUUGGCGAAGGUGAGAACUUAAGCGCCGGUAAACGGCGGUGGUAACUAUAACCAUCCUAAGGUAGCGAAAUUCCUUGUCGGGUAAGUUCCGACCUGCACGAAUGGCGUAACGACUUCCCCGCUGUCUCAACCACAGACCCGGCGAAAUUGCACUACGAGUAAAGAUGCUCGUUUCGCGCAGCAGGACGGAAAGACCCCGGGACCUUCACUACAGCUUGACAUUGGCGUUUGGAACGUCUUGUGUAGGAUAGGUGGGAGACUGGGAAGCUGUCACGCUAGUGAUGGUGGAGUCAUUGGUGAAAUACCACUCUGGUCGUUUUGAACGUCUAACUCUGGUCCGUGAUCCGGAUCGGGGACAGUGUCUGGUGGGUAGUUUAACUGGGGCGGUUGCCUCCUAAAGAGUAACGGAGGCGCCCAAAGGUUCCCUCAGCCUGGUUGGCAAUCAGGUGUUGAGUGUAAGUGCACAAGGGAGCUUGACUGUGAGACUGACAGGUCGAGCAGGAGCGAAAGCUGGGACUAGUGAUCCGGCAUCGGCGUGUGGAAGCGGUGUCGCUCAACGGCUAAAAGGUACCCCGGGGAUAACAGGCUGAUCUUCCCCAAGAGUCCAUAUCGACGGGAUGGUUUGGCACCUCGAUGUCGGCUCGUCGCAUCCUGGGGCUGGAGUAGUCCCAAGGGUUGGGCUGUUCGCCCAUUAAAGCGGUACGCGAGCUGGGUUUAGAACGUCGCGAGACAGUUCGGUCCCUAUCCGCUGCGCGCGCAGGAGACUUGAAGGGGGCUGUCCCUAGUACGAGAGGACCGGGACGGACGAACCUCUGGUGUGCCAGUUGUACCGCCAGGUGCACGGCUGGUUGGCUACGUUCGGAAGGGAUAACCGCUGAAAGCAUCUAAGCGGGAAGCUCGCCUUGAGAUGAGGUCUCCCACCCCGUGAGGGGGUAAGGCUCCCGGUAGAUCACCGGGUUGAUAGGCCGGAGGUGGAAGCACGGUAACGUGUGGAGCUGACCGGUACUAAUAGGCCGAGGACUUGACCAC
rnacentral:rRNA from 1 species